UGAACGCUGGCGGCAUGCCUAACACAUGCAAGUCGAACGAGACCUUCGGGUCUAGUGGCGCACGGGUGCGUAACGCGUGGGAAUCUACCCUUGGGUUCGGAAUAACUCAGAGAAAUUUGAGCUAAUACCGGAUGAUGACGUAAGUCCAAAGAUUUAUCGCCCAAGGAUGAGCCCGCGUAGGAUUAGCUUGUUGGUGAGGUAAAAGCUCACCAAGGCGACGAUCCUUAGCUGGUCUGAGAGGAUGAUCAGCCACACUGGGACUGAGACACGGCCCAGACUCCUACGGGAGGCAGCAGUGGGGAAUAUUGCACAAUGGGUGCAAGCCUGAUGCAGCAACGCCGCGUGAGUGAAGAAGGCCUUGGUCGUAAGCUCUGUCCUGUGGACGAACGAAACUGAACGGUACCACAGGAGGAACGCCCGGCUAACUACGUGCCAGCAGCCGCGGUAAUCUGAUG
rnacentral:rRNA from 1 species